AUGAUGGCCCCAGAGACACCUGGUCCCUCUACAUGGGGUCGGGGUUCAACAGACACAGGGGCUCCCCCGCAACGCCUGGUGGGGAGCAGACACCAGCACGCGUUCGGGCAAGGCGGCAUCCUGACCCCCCUUCCGUGGAGGCCGGCAGGGCUGACCACGGGCAGGGCAGCCAAGGGUCCACCGGGGGCACAGCUGAGCCCAGCCCUGAGCCAGCUCUGCAGGCGUGAGGAGCAGGGCAGAGGCCGCGCUCUCAGGAGGAACCUGAAUCCAGGCUCCUCUGCUCACCCCUCCUCCGGAGGGCGUCAGGGCCGCCCACGCCGACCUCAGACCCAGGGUCAGGACAGAUGCAGGAGCCNNNNNNNNUCGAACAGCUUCAUGCCUGAGGCCGAGUCGGGUUUCCAGACCUCGGUCACCAACCACACUUGGUCACCAACCACACUUACUGUUUCACGGGAACCUUUGGCCUCCUGCUGGGGCCAGUGUCUGGGGCGCCUGGGGGUCUCUGCAGGGCUGAAUUUGCCUGUGGGGUCCCUGCAGGGCGGGAGGGUCUCGGGGAAACCCCUUCAGGGAGGUCCUGUCCCUGCUGUGCCCCUGCAGCCUCUGAUCCUGGGGCUGUGGACUGGCAUGGGGGUGUGGCAGGGCGGCAGCUGGGCCGUCCUGGGUGCCAGCCUGGCCUGGCCUGCCACCCUCACCCGCCCCCGGGAUGUGCCUUCCUCCCUGCUGGAGCCCCUGUCCCCUCUGACCCUCCUGUCCCGCACACCCGGCUCCGACCAGCCUCCCUGGCCUCCACUCUCCUCCCCGGGUACCCACUGCCUUCUGCCCAGUCCCUGCUCCUGCCACUGGGGCCAAAGCAAUUUUAUCAAAUUAGAUGUGGUCAAACUUGACAAUUUUGCUAAAAUAAUGAUUUGUUUGAGAGUUAAUCUUCCCCAGCCUCUGAUUUUCUGCUUUGGUGCCUGGCAAGACAGAUCCCAGUGCCUGUGUCUUGAAACAUCUCUCCUCCUUUCAAAACAUCCCUAAAAGAACUCCUUACGUUUUGAUAUCUAGUCACUUCCAGCCAGUUAAUCUUGCUUUGAGCUUCUGGAAUAGCAGAGAUCUGGAACAGUCUGAGAGUCUGACGGGCUGGGCUGGAGUAACUGACACCUGCCGGCUGGUGGCUGGUCGGCGGGCCUUGGAGAGGAGCCCUGCAGAUGCUUUCGAAGCCGCGGUUCACAGACGUGUGACCGGACGCCUGUGACGGCAUGAGUGCGCACCCGUGCGUGUGCGCUGGAGACGUCUGGGGGCCCGGGGGUGGUGUUGGUGCCCGCAGCUCAGCAGGAUGGUGGCCGCUGGUCAGCCUAUUCUUCUGCACCCCUUUCAGAUGUGGCCUCCUUGGCCACGCAUGGCUUUUUUUUUGUUUUGGUAAAGAAAAACCCCAAUAAAAUCAGUUUAAACAAUAAAAAUGUGAACCAUUACGAGUAGUGACUUUGAAGUCUUUGAUUGACUGCUUAGCUGUAGCCGUUUGGUUUGCUCCACGGUUUGCUUACAUUACAAAGCAGGCCGAGCAAAAUAACUAAAAUCAGGUGCAAGUGAAAAAAAAUCAAGAAAUGAGGGGAAAGCAAGCUUAUGACAAAGGGAAACAGAAGUUCAACAUCCUUGAAUUUUGGAAAAGGAUCGCAGUUUGUGAAUAUGAGCAAACAUUUUCAAAUUUCCCCUUUACCCAAGCUGGGAUCUUGUGGAAACAGCAGGGAGAUGUCCUGGGGUGUGCACCUGUUGUGGGGCAGGGACGCUGUGACUAUGAGGCCCGCAGGGCCGGGUGUGUGGGGGCAGGCAUCUGCAGGGGCGGUCACGCGACAGCCCCCCAUCAGAUCGGGGCGCCCCGGGCCCCACCACACCUGCAGGACAGCAGUCAGCUCCACUAGGGGCUGACCUCCUCAGCUCCGGUCCUUUUCUCCAAAGUUUAUAAAAGAUCCUCGUUAUUUCAAAACAGGGUUCAUAGACCUAACCAUCUACCUGCAUC
rnacentral:lncRNA from 1 species